rnacentral:rRNA from 1 species
CCUACGGGUGGCAGCAGUGAGGAAUAUUGGUCAAUGGCCGGAAGGCUGAACCAGCCAAGUCGCGUGAGGGAAGAAGGCCCUAUGGGUCGUAAACCUCUUUUGUCAGGGAGCAAAGGCGUCCACGAGUGGACGAAAGGAGAGUACCUGAAGAAAAAGCACCGGCAAACUCCGUGCCAGCAGCCGCGGUAAUACGGAGGAUGCGAGCGUUAUCCGGAUUGAUUGGGUUGAAGGGGUGCGAAGGCGGAGUGUCAAGUCAGCGGUAAAAUUUCGGGGCUCAACCCCGUCGUGCCGUUGAAACUGGCACCCUUGAGUGAGUGAGAAGUAAGCGGAAUGCGUGGUGUAGCGGUGAAAUGCAUAGAUAUCACGCAGAACGCCGAUUGCGAAGGCAGCUUACCGGCGCUCAACUGACGCUGAGGCACGAAAGUGCGGGUAUCGAACAGGAUUAGAUACCCUAGUAGUC